GACAGCUGCCAAACACACUGUGUCCCUGGCAACACCUGUUGAGUCAGCCGCGGUGGUGGAGAGUCAGAUGAAGAAAGACAGCUGUACACAUGCCAACAGCAGCAGGAUGCUGUGCUGGGCUUGCGCUCUGCCAGCAGAAGAUGUGCCAAACUCGCUGGCCCAGAUUCAAAUGGCUGGGUGUCGACUCAGUUUGCCAGCAAAUAAGCCCAGGGAAUACAUUUGCAUUAACACCGCUCCCUGUUCCCACCUCCCCAGUCCUUCUCCCGCUCCACAUAGAACACAGUUCCUCUUUCCAGAAUGUCAUCUUCAGCCUGCUUUUCAGAACCUGUAUUUCAGUGGAACAUGAGAUAUCAAAGACAUUCAGUGGACGGCACAGUCCAAUUUUCACUUGGGCCCUGUGCUAUCCAGCUAUGUGA
ensembl:lncRNA